CUCCCUGGGCCCCGCAGACCUGCAGACCCGAGCGGAGAGCGCAUUUGCCUUUGGCUCUCUCCCGGACUCGGCAGAGGGGUUCCGGCGGGAAUCUGGGCUGGCGCUGGCGCUGCGCAGCCACGGAGGGCGAGGCGCUGCGUCCAUGCGGGGUGCUCCCCUAGAGGGAGGAGGCGGGGUGCCCUCGCCGGGGCCCGCGGGGCCCUCUGCACCCGCCUGAACCGUGCGCCCACCCCCGGACCGGGGAACGCGGCCCUUGGGAACCCCAGCCAGUGACCUCCGCGCGACCUCCGCGGGUCCGAGCGCAGAGGCCGGCCGGUAGCUCUUCGACCUUGGAUGGCAAGUGGGCAGUGGGGUGGGUGCUCCGGACGCCUAAUGUGGAUUACUUGGUGUGUACCAGCCGGGCUCAGAAGACUCGCGAUCCCGUCUCCGGCCGUGGACUGAUUCAUUCUACCUAGCCGUCGGGUCGCUUCCCUGGAGGUGACAUCAGAGGUUGGUGGCCAACCGGGGCAGGUGCUCGAACCAAGAAAGGACGGGGACGAAGGUGGCCCGGAGCACGCCAGGCCUGGGAAGCAGGGCUGGCAAAGGGCUGCCCUUCCUCACCCUCACUGCCCACCAGGGAGCCUCCUGGAGGUCCCGGCUCAGCUGCAACCAGCUCUUAAGAGGCAGGCACUCUGCAUUGGAUGGAGAACUCUUAUUUUGGAGAAUACAUAUAGAAGGUUCUGGAUUUGAGAAGACAUUUGAGGAGAAAGCCAAGACCCUCGCUCUGAGGAAUAGUGGGCGUGAUGACCUGCAUGCGCUGGGGGAAGCAUCGUUGCUGAGGGCAACCUAUGGAGGAGACACCGGUAUCCCAGACCUUGCUUCUCCUUCUUAUGGAAAACCCUUCCUCUGCGGCCGAGGCCCCGAAGGCUGCCCUCCCCCAACCCCCAGGAGCCCCAGGGCUUUCUGCCACCCCCUUUCUGUCCGCCCCCCACCCACCUCCACGCCUGCUGUGCAGCGAUUCUUGUUUGCUCCGUCGUCUUCUAGCGGAUACAGAGUGAAUCGUUAACUACACUUAGGUCAAACAGGAUCUGCGUUUUUUGUUCCGGCUCCUUCUCAAGACACGUGUGCGCCGCUAUGCGCACAGCCUUGGACGAGUCUUCCUUCUCGUCUGUUCGGGCCUGGCCGCGCGGGUUCCCGAGGGAUGCUCAUCCAUGCGGGGACGUUCCUCGGGCUCUUGGGGACGUUGGCAGGGACUCCGGCGGUGGACCCGGAUUGUGAAGGCUGCCGUUCUCCAUGCCCACCCGUCUUGGCUGGGAUCACACACGAUCGGACAUCUGGAGGAGCAGAAAAUGUUGAGCCAGAGGCACAGUCAGCGGCAAUGGCCACCCUCUCCUCUCAGGUGGCCGUUGGGGUCCACACCGGAGCUGGGGGCUUCUUUAGGACCGUCCAGCUACCAGCGCUGGUGGAAUUUGUGGCGGACCCUCUUCCUCCGGGGCGUGCCGGUGACACACACACCCGGCCAUGGGUUGGGCCCCACGAGUCCUGUUCGUUUCGAUCACUCUGUAGCCGCCCUACACAUGGACGGAAAUACUUCCUAGAUGUCUAUCCCUGUCAACCUUGGCCAAAGUGCAGGGCCAAGCAGGUCUGUACUCUCAGUGUCCACAGUGAAUGGACGGAAAGAAUUAAAGCUAGACCUGUCUACCUUCCCUGUGUUGCA